rnacentral:tRNA from 1 species
GCCUGGAUAGCUCAGUCAGUAGAGCAUCAGGCUUUUAAGCUGAGGGUCCAGGGUUCAAGUCCCUGUUUGGGCG